rnacentral:lncRNA from 1 species
GUGACAAAAGCAAAAGUUAGAAAUCAUCAAAAUCACGCAACCAUUUAAAAAUUUAUGUCCAUAUCAACUCAUAAUAUUUUAGUAUUUACAAAGUGAAUUGACUACACAUGAUGACUCAACGCCAACAAGGCAGAUUUUUAUACAGAUUUUCCUCACUUGACUAUCAAAAUUGACCCCAAAAUAAACACAAAUACUAAAGACCCCUUUCAUCCCUUUCGUUACACCAAUAGGGUGCCCCCAAUGACUUGGUUGAAUUAUUUUUGGUCAAUCAAAACAUACUCGGAUUAAUUACAGACUCCUUGCCUUACAGACACUUUUUGACAUGUAUUUACACUAUACAAAAUGAUCAAUGAUCUCUAUUACUUGCUCACUGGAUCAAACUGUUCAAAAUUCCUCUUCUGCUAAAAUCUUCAAUUUUUGUAUGUACUAGUUUUUUGAUUGCUCUAAGCCAGAGCAGGGAUGCUGCAGUUGCGUCUGUCCCUGUCAAGGCAUUCGAAGCCCUCGACCCUCACAGCUGGAUUGUUGCCAAAAUUUGUCCGCACGCAUCCACCUUUACGGGUGGAGGAUGGGGACGGAGCCAACUCAGAUGGGAACGGGAUAGCUCGUGGUGAAAGUGGGGUGAAUUUCUCAUCCCCAAAACGGGCAUCUUGAAUUAAUGGGUUAGAUGCUCUGCUUGGCGGCGACCCAGAAAAAAAGGGGGGCGUG